rnacentral:rRNA from 1 species
UACGUAGGGGGCAAGCGUUAUCCGGAUUUACUGGGUGUAAAGGGAGCGUAGACGGCAUGGCAAGUCCGAAGUGAGAGCCCGCGACUCAACUGCGGGACUGCUUUGGAAACUGUUAAGCUAGAGUGCAGGAGAGGUAAGUGGAAUUCCUAGUGUAGCGGUGAAAUGCGUAGAUAUUAGGAGGAACACAGGUGGCGAAGGCGGCUUUCUGGACUGUAACUGACGUUGAGGCUCGAAAGCGUGGGGAGCAAAC